rnacentral:rRNA from 1 species
AUUGAACGCUGGCGGCAUGCCUUACACAUGCAAGUCGAACGGUAACAGGUUAAGCUGACGAGUGGCGAACGGGUGAGUAAUACAUCGGAACGUGCCCAGACGUGGGGAUAGCUCGGCGAAAGCCGGAUUAAUACCGCAUGUGCUCUGAGGAGGAAAGCGGGGGAUCGCAAGACCUCGCGCGUUUGGAGCGGCCGAUGGCAGAUUAGGUAGUUGGUGGGGUAAAGGCUUACCAAGCCUACGAUCUGUAGCUGGUCUGAGAGGACGACCAGCCACACUGGGACUGAGACACGGCCCAGACUCCUACGGGAGGCAGCAGUGGGGAAUUUUGGACAAUGGGCGAAAGCCUGAUCCAGCAAUGCCGCGUGCAGGAUGAAGGCCUUCGGGUUGUAAACUGCUUUUGUACGGAACGAAAAGGCGCCUACUAAUACUGGGCGUUGAUGACGGUACCGUAAGAAUAAGCACCGGCUAACUACGUGCCAGCAGCCGCGGUAAGAC